GUAAAAGGGAGAGGACAACACGGGAAUCUGCCUUGGGGACGAGGAUAGCGUCGGGAAACUGACAGUAAUACUCGAUAAUGUUUGCGGACCAAAGGUGUGAUUCCGCCCCAAGAUGAGCCCGUGCCCCAUUAGCUAGUUGGCAGGGUAAUGGCCUACCAAGGCUGUGAUGGGUAGCUGGUGUGAGAGCACGACCAGCCUCACUGGCACUGAGACGCUGGCCAGACACCUACGGGUGGCUGCAGUCGAGAAUCUUCGGCAAUGGACGCCAGUCUGACCGAGCGACGCCGAGUGCGGGAUGAAGGCCUUCGGGUUGUAAACCGCUGUCGUAGGGAAUCAACUGCAUAGGGGUACUCCCUUAUGUUUGAGAGAUCCU
rnacentral:rRNA from 1 species